rnacentral:rRNA from 1 species
CCUACGGGUGGCAGCAGUGAGGAAUAUUGCACAAUGGGCGAGAGCCUGAUGCAGCCACGCCGCGUGAAGGAAGACGGGUUUACGCUCGUAAACUUCUAUCAACCGGGACGCAAGACAUGACGGUCCCUGCCUCCCAAGCCCAGGCUAACUACGUGCCAGCAGCCGCGGUAUUACGUCGGGGGCAGUCGUUAUCCGGAAGUACUGGGUGUACAGGGUGAGUAGGCGGCAUGGUAAGCCAGAUGGGAAAGCCUUGGGCUUAACCCGAGGAUCGCAGUUGGAACUAUCAAGCUAGAGUACAGGAGAAGAAAGCGGAAUGCGUAGUGUAGCGGUGAAAUGCAUAGAUAUCAGGAAGAACACCAGUUGCGAAGGCGGCGUACCGGAGUGAAACUGACGCUGAGGCACGAAAGCGUGGGGAGCGAACAGGAUUAGAUACCCGGGUAGUC